rnacentral:lncRNA from 1 species
AGAUCUAGAUUUGUUUUCAAAGAGGUUUAUUGCACAGCUCACAGGGUGCUUCAGUUGAGCUAAGCUUGAACGGGGCUGGGGACUGGUUCCUUGAGGACAGGUGAUGACAUCCAGGGUGGACAGAGGGCUUGGGAGCUGGCGGAUGAGCCACAUCACAAAGUGCUGAUCCAGGAGCUAAUAUGUCCCAUCCAAGUGAACCGGAACAAGUGGAUAUGUGGUAUUGUCUUGCACAGAUCUAUUGGCACAAGCAACUACGUAGAACUUGGUUGCUGGUACAUUUUGAUAUCUGCAGUUCAUAUAAUCCUUUGUUUUUCUGGUGAUGUUACAGUCAACCAAAGGCACCUGAACUGAACUGUUAUGACAAUUUGUACUGGGGCUUGUAAGGCAGGUUAUAUUUGGGGUUUCACAAACUUGAGCAACAGCGGCAAAACUUGUAUGUAGAAAUGUAUUUUUGGAUUUGCAUUGCCUUCUGUAUCUGUUAACUACCCGCAUUGCAUCAUCACAUCGGGGGUGGGCCAUAAUUAAGUGCUGGAUUUCAAACCACUGAGCCCAGGUUAAAUGACCUGGUGGGGCCUGAAAUGAGAUAAUUAUUCCCAUGAACCCCAGCAGCAGCAGGAGCCAAAGUUUUGGAGCCAUGUUUCCUGUGAACAAAGAAAAGAAAUAACUAGUCCUGCAUCCUAACUCAGUGACCAUAUUCUUUUCCUGUCUUAGCUUACAGGAUCUCUCUGAGGUCCUAUAGGUCUUAUAGGACCUCACUGUGGGGUCAUAUUUCCAUUUGCUCCCAUCAUUAAUGUGUUCAAGUUCCUGGGUAUUCAUUUUAUUUCAGCUUCCCUUAGGUUCCACUGCUGGCCCUCUGGUCCCAGCUCUAGGGCUCAAUGUCUUACCCACUCUCUGUACUGUGGCUCCUGUGUAACAAACCCAGCUGAUUGUCUGUUCUUGGGUUCGGAAACUAUGGGUGCUCCUGUAUGGGCCUGUAGAUACAUAGCAGCUCCUGUGUGGGGCCGCCAGAGCCAGGAAGUUUCUAAUGUCUUGGCCGUGCAGACACCCACAUAUUGGUACUAGGCCCACGUGUGCAUCCAGCCUCUUGACUGACCAAUGGGUCUGAAGGACAGCACUACUGCUGCUUCUGCUAUAAGAAAUCUAAUUCCACAUUAUCCAUGAAGGACUUUUGCAGGCUGGAUCUGGUCUCAGUGAAUAAAAACUAUACACUGCCUGCUAAAUGUCCAUGGGUUUGGUCACUGUGUUUUAGUAGGGUACCGAAAGACCAAGUUCCAUCAAGGCAGGGCUAGUACUCAACAAGUAGAGCUGGUAGGGCCCAUUUCACAGGAGGAAUUUGCAUUCCUGUCUCAUCUUAAAAACUCCCAUAAUGUUGGCUGGUCUAGGGAGUCUCCUCUACUGCAAUGGGUCAGCUGGAGAUGGGCAGCAGCUGCCAGUGUUGAAAAGGGCACUAGGCUCAGGGGUCUUCCUGAGUCCACCUCUCCUUCCUGGACUCACCUUCUCUGUUCAGCCAAUGAUGUCACUCUCCUGCCUACUGGAGACAUUUGUGUUCAUUACCAUCAGACUUAUUACAGUUUCCUGAAAAAUGACUCAGAUCACACCUUCCCAGUUACUGGGCACUUAACUUCCGUUCAGCCCUCCCUCAGGUGCUAUCCCACCACAGCCCCUUCUAUUCCAGGUCUGGGGCUUAAUGCCUUACCUAAUCUCUGUGCUGUGGCUCCUGUGAGAACAGACCCAGCUGGUUUUCCUGGGAUUCGGGAUUGUGGGUGCUCCUAUUUGGGUUUGUAGAUAUAUAGUAGCCCCUAUNUUACCUAAUCUCUGUGCUGUGGCUCCUGUGAGAACAGACCCAGCUGGUUUUCCUGGAAUUCGGGAUUGUGGGUGCUCCUAUUUGGGUUUGUAGAUAUAUAGUAGCCCCUAUGGGUGGGGCUGCCAGAGUCAGGUGGGUUCUGACGUCUUGAUUAUGCAGAAACCCACAGAGGGGUUCAUGGCCCCCUUGUGCAAGCAGCCUUCCUCUUUCAUUACUUGGUGGACCAAUUGGUAGUCAAGGAUACAGCUUUAGUUGCUACUGUUGUAAUAGAUCUAAGGCAUCGUGUGCCACCAGAGCUUUCCCUGUUGAUCUGGGAUGUGCUGUUCAGGAAUAUUUCCUGGGUGAAGAAUGACCAGAGAUUUGAUAACUCUGCAUAAAGCUAGGCCAAGAACCAAAUCACAGAAACAUGCCAGGAAAAGCUGUUUGCACAAAAGAAGCCCAAGUUCCCCUUUCAUUUUUAGUCUUCUUGGCAGUUUGUUAACACCCUUGUUCUCCAUCUUCUCAUCUCCCUCUGGAGUAAACUGUUUUUUUUUUUCUUUUAAAUUUAAUUUUGUGGAUAAUGGAAAUAAUUUGUUAUAUAUAUUUGAAGUCCUCUCCUGCAUUCUUCUUUUGUAGGAUUCCCUCUUUGUGGUGUGAAGUUUUGCCCUGAAUAUUAUUUUUACUUUUUGAAAAAUUGAACUACCUUAAAAUAGAAGAAAACUAUUCUGUUCAAUUUGCCCCAGAAUGAACUUGGUGUGAUAAAGGAUUCCAAUGCAGCACUUAGUAUUCCUGCAUUCUUUUCAGUCUGUGCUGUUUCCUACUGCCGACAGCCAUCCGUGAACUGUGGGUGAACCAAAACAACGCGGAAGCCAUUAGUGAAAGUCUGGUAUCCUGGGGACUCCCAGCAGCAACUCUAUUGGUUUGAGAUGCCUGAUUCACAUGACUUCCUACCUAGAUCCAUCAGAAGUUCAGCACAGCUCAGAGAUGGGGUGACCCACGGGAGCCACACCGCCUCUGGGAGAUGGGUGUGGCUUUCCAAGAUGCCAAUCAACCUGUUUGCUGCGAGACCCCCGUCGUGCGGAGAAGUGAGACCCCUCCCGCUGAAACCUUAUCCCUGCCUUUGAUGUACUACCCCUUAAAUAAAGAAUGGGAGCCGUGUUCAGUUCCAUCUCCUAUCAGGACCGGAAGACCUAUCAGGCACUCCCCUUUUAUCUAAUUUCUGGCUCUGUCUCUUAUUUCUUACUAAUUAUUUCAGACUUUUUAUUUUCUCAUGGAGCGCACACCUUCUAAACAGAAAACUACCCUGGCAGGGCGCUGGUAACCCUACAAUAGUCUACAAAAUGGAGCUCUCAAUUUUCAGUUAAUCAUUUCAUCUUUUGGUAUUAAGAAGAAGAUUGUGUGUGUGUGUAUAUAUAUAUAUAUAUAUAUAUAUAUAUAUAUAUAUAUAUUCCUGAAAAAAAAUAUAUUUUCCUGAAAGGAUAGUUGUCUCGGUGCAUCAUUUUAUAAGUGAAACACAGUUUUUCUUGGUCCUCUGAGAAGCACUGGAGAAUAAAUAAACAUUGAAUUUUAUUACAAUGUGAUAGAGGUGACAACCCUGGUCUGAGCAUGGUUUUUGGGCACUGGGGAUGAGGUCAUCCCCUCAUGGACAAGGAAGGGUGCCAGCAGAAAGUGCCACCCUUGAAGUGCUGUAAAGGGUGGGUCGGGGUUUGCAGGGACUGUUGGGACUUUAGGGAGAAAGAUGAGUGUUCUGGGGAGAGGGGGUGGUGUGGGAAAUUGCUCAGGGUGGAGAUGAACUGCAGGGGGCAGGGAGACCUGUGUGCUAAGAGAAGUUAAAUCUCUGCUCCAGCUUCCAGGUUAGAAAACUGGACUUAGACCCUUAGAUGGAAUCAAACACUGUUUUAGCCAAAUUAGUCCACCUAAUGCUUUAAUGCCUUUCUACCUUCCUGUCAUCUGGAAAUGCAAUCAUUUUAUUAUUGAUGUCCUUAUGUAAAUUGGGACACAAUGGUGACCUGAUACGAGCUGUUACAGCCAAACUAAAAUACACACCAGGCCUGAAAAAUCCUUGAGCAGACAAAAUGUAUCUUCAAGGAGGCCUUAAAAAUAGUCUUAUCCAAUGCAAAUUAAAACUACACUGAGAUUCCGGCUCACUCUAGUCAGAAUGGAAAUUAUCAUGAAUAGAAGCAAAAAUAAAUGUUGGUGAGGAUGUGGGGGGAGGGAGGUACAUUCAUACAUUGCUGGUGGGACUAAAAAUUGGUGAAACCAUUCUGGAAAGCAGUAUGGAGGUUCCUCAGAAAACCUGGAAUGGAACCACCAUUUGACCCUAUUAUCCCACUCUUUGGUAUACCCCAAAGGACUUAAAUUCAACAAACUACAGUGAUACAACCCCAUCAAUAUUUAAACCAGAAAAUCUAAACCAUGGAAUAAACUUAGGUGCCUUUCAACAGAUGAAUGGAUAAAGUAAUGUGGUAUAUAUGCACAAUGGAAUAUUACUCAGCCAUAAAGAACAAUGAAACUAUGGCAUUUGCCAGUAAAUGGAUGGAGCUGGAGAAUAUCAUGUUAAGCAAAAUAAUCCAGUUCCAAAAAACCAAAGGCUGAAUAUUUUCUCUGAUAUUCAGAUGCUAACUCACAAUAAGGAUGGGGGCUAGGGAAGAACAGAAGUGCUUUGGAUUAGACAGAGGGGAAUUAAGAGAAGGGAGGGAGAAUGUGAAUAGGAAAGAUAGUAGAAUGGAUUGAAUAUUACUAUCCUAUGUGCAUGUAUGAUUACUCCACCAUAAUUUAACAUCAUGUACAACCAGAAGAAUGAGAAGUUAUACUCCAUAUGUGUAUAAUAUGUAAAAAUACAUUCUUCUAUCAUGUAUAACUAAAAAGAACAAAUAAAGAAUAUAAGUAAAUAGUGUUAUCUUUGCUUAAACUGACAACAUAAGUGAAACUUAACUUGGGUCAAUUCUGCUAAAUAUUGACAUUACAAAUAAAGCAUUUGGCAAUCCUAAGCAGUCAUGUAUUAUGUGACAAGGGAUUUUUUCACCAAAAUAAAUCUAAAAUGGCAUUUUUGUGACUGUUUCAGUAGCUUUUUAUUGAUGUGACAAAAGACCUGACAAGAACAACAUCGAUGAGGAAAAGUUUAUUUGGGUCUUCCGGUUUCAGAGUCCAAGAUGGCAUACCUCAUAGCUCUAGGCCAGAAGUUGGUAAGAACAUCCUGGCAGGAGAUUCAAGAUGGUGGAUUAGAAGAAGGCUGCAUUCCUAGGUGCUCUGUGGCUCAAGAUUCAAGCAGUGGGAGUACUGCUUCUCAGUGAGGUGGUUGAAGAGGAAUUUCACUACAAAUUCAAUGUUGGAUAGUCAGAAUGUCUUAGAGACUUAGAAAUUUGGGUACAUUGAACAAAGAAGGAAGAGUACACAUGAUCCAAGCUGGCUGUGGCAGGGGAGGUGGUAGUGGUGCAGGUUCACCACAGAGGGGAGGGAUAACACAGAGAGGAACGCAGCAGACUGAUUUGGUCUGGAAAAACCUGAGACCAGAAUAUAGCGCAGAAAAAUAUCAGAAAAUCAGCCUGGACUUAGCUGAUCCAGAGGCUGUACUGCGGAAUGGAAAGGGCUUCUCAUCUGACCAGCAGAGAGCAGAGGCAGGAGCCAUCCGGAGGAGGCCAUGCUUUGGCUGCUGCUGCAGAGCCAGGAGAUCAUAGCAAACAUUGCCAUACUACCCUGGCAAGCAUCUACCAUGUAGCCUAGGGAAUACCUAGCCGAACGUAAAGAAAACAUGCACAGAGAAGUACCCAGGAGAUUCCAGUCAGAAAUAUGGAGGGAGUGUAACUCAGUUUCCCUUUGAGUCUGGUGGCUCAUGUGUCCAGCAGAAGUGGGUGGGAAUCUGAACAUGGGUGUGAGUACGUGGGAAGGCUGUGUCCAUGUGCAACAUUCAGACUGUGUGGAGGAUGGUCUUCUGCCCCAUGAAGUAGAAUUCUUGGGAAGCUCCUUGGAGCCAGACUCCUGAUAGAGAUCAGUAACUGCCAGGCCCUAGGGGUCUGUUGAGCUAAUCUCACCAGAGCAGAUACAAUCCAAUAAAGUCCCUCAGGCCUGAUUAGAUUUAAGCCUCAAUUAUUGAAAUUCCCUUCAUAAAACUCUGCAGCAGUCCCACCCUGAGAGAGCAUUGAUCUGGUCUGUCUAGGCAAAACUCCACUGACGUAUUUCUUAUUCCAUCCCACCUUACACUGGUGAAAAGGGACUCAGAGAUAUUUCUACCAGCUUCAGUCUUAGGUCACUCCAACUGGAAGCUUAAUGAGUAACACAAAAAGAAGAGAUUAAGAGCUUUCAGCCCAGGACCUAAAAAGAAAUGGGAAAAAAAAAAAAAGGACAGUUGGGCAUAGGCAGUGACCAUCCAUUCUCUUCAACUAUGUUGACCACCUUGGUGGAGACAAUGCCUUCAUUAAGAAUCUUUUUUUCCUUUUUUUUUUUCUUGGGUAUUCUCGCUGUAUGGAUUGGUUCAUGAACAUAUAUACAUAUAAAUAUCUCCCCCCUCAUUUUCAGUACUUUCUUUAAUGUAGUUAUUUUUCUUUGCCUUGUCUUUUCAGGGUUAGGGUCUUUGUUGGUUUAUUUUGGUUUUGUUUUCAUUUGUUUGGUUCUCUUGUUUGUAUUUCCCUCUUUUCUUCCCAUGCUAACAGCCAUUUCUCAAUUUACAUUGUUUUUCCUGUUUUCCCCUCCUUCCUUAUAACCAUCACCUGCUACAUCUCUUCUGCAUUCCCUCUGUUCACUUUUUGAAAUUGUAAACUCUUCUCUAACUUCCUGACAUUAUCUUCUCUUAAUGAACUGAAUUUUUACCAUCUUUUAGUACUAAUUGGUUAAUAACCUCUGCCAGAACCAUUAAUGCUGUUGCUAUUAUUAUUAAUUAUUACUGUGGAUGACAGUCAGUACCCGUGCUUUGCUUUAAGGCCAGAUCUAGUUUAUAGUUACUUACUGUUUUUGCUGUUGGCAAUUUCUGUCCCAAAUAGUUCUUUUUUUUCUUUUCUUUCUUUUUUUUUUUGCAUAAACAUUGUAGAUGUCAUUGUAGGAAUCAGGUAUCUAAUUUAAUGCUAUAUAUUGUUUGCAUUGGUUGUUGCUAUUGUUGUUUCCCUCUAUUCUGUGAGGGACUGGAAAUCUACAGGAAUACUGCACAUUCACAGGGUAGAAAUUAUGUUGCUGAACUAAACUCAGAAAACUGACCUAAAGACAGCAGACACACAAAUCAAUGGCACUCAAAUUUCAGAUAUAGUUUAGUACAAAUAAUAGAAGAGACAAAAAUCCCAAACUACUGGGCUGGGGUUGAGGGCUCAGUGGCAGAGUGCCUGCCUCGCACGUGUGAGGAACUGGGUUCAAUCCUCAGAAUCACAUAAAAUGAAUAAAUAAAAGUAUUGGGUCCAUCUACAACUAAAAAAAUAAAAAAUAAAAAAACUCAGAACCUUAAAAAAAAUCCCAAACUAUUAACCAGGCCCUAGAUAGAAAAGUUAGGGGUAGGCACUCGGAUUCCACUCAUAGACAUUCCACUGCUAAGGCAAAGACUGAGAAUUAACACGUAGAGUGUGGAUACUGCACAUAUGAGGGUUCUCAAUCUAGCUUACUCUAGGAAAAUUUGGCAAGAUAAGGCUGUGCCCCACCAAAGGCCCACACAUUGGAGUGCAAAAGAAAUCUACCUUAAUAGAUACAUAAGGGCCAACACAGGAAUACAAGAAAUAUAAAAGACAAGGUAAAACAACACCUCCUAAAGUUCACAAUUUACCAAAAACUGACAUAAAAAAAAAAACUGAAGAGGAUGAAAUAUCAGAUACAGAACUAAAAAAAAAAGAUUAUAAAAGUGAUCAAUGAAUUCCAAGAGAACAUAGGAAAAAAAACUGAAUGAAAUUAAGGAAGUCAAUACAGAAAAUGAAUGAGAAAUUCAAUAAGAAGAUAAAGAUAUUGAAAAAUAUUCCUAAAUUGCUGAGGGCCUGAUGAAGUUGAUGAGGCUGGCUUUGAACUUGCGAUCCUCCUCAGCCUCCCAGCUUGCUGGGAUCACAGGUAUACACCACCAUGCCUGGCUGGCAUGGUUCUUAGUAACUUUUCCCAGUUCCCAAGUCCCUUCCUCAGUUGUCUUGUCCUACAUCUCCACUGUUUUUUUUUUUUGUUCUGCCCAGUAACCACUUCAGGAGGUCCUGAUAUCACGUCCUGCUGCUUGUGUCUAUUCUCAAGAUCAGAGCUGAGAGGCUUGGCAGGUGUGUGUGUGUGUGUGUGUGUGUGUGUGUUUGUGCGCAUGUGUGCGCACACUUGCUUCUGUGACUUGAUAGAAGCUAAACCAGAAACACCCUAUUUUCCCCUGUGCUUCAGGCUUAGAACUCCUAUUUAUUUCUUUUUUAUUCAAGGAAUGUGAGUACUUCCUAGACUUUACAACUCAAGAGAGCUAAGAGAACAUUCAACGGGAAUGAGAAUAAAACUAAAAGAAUAGAGUAAAAAGAGAUUUAUGGUCUUAGCCUGAAAACUCUGGAUGUCAUAAAGAGAAUUUUCAGGGUAAGUCUCUGAAGGUACAGCUGUGAACUGUAUAGCAAUGGUUUGGUCAAAAAUGGGCCAUAUGAACUGAGUGCAGUGGUGUACACCUGUAACAAUAAAGAAUGUGAAGAGACUACCUACAGAAUGGGAGAAAAUCUUUGUUAGCUUCUCUUUUGACAGAGGAUUAUUAUCCAUAUAUAAAAAACAAAGAAAACUUAACACCAAACAACCAAUUAUGGGCAAAUGAACUAAAAAGACACUUUUCAAAGAAGAAAUGCAAACAGUCAACAAACAUGAAAAAAUAUUCAACAUCUUUAGCAAUCAGGGAAAUUCAAAUCAAACCUCCAUUGAGGUUUCAUCUCACUCCAGUUAGAAUGGCAGCCAUCAAGACAAAAAAAAAAUGCUGGAGAAAAAGGAACACUUUUACGUAAUUGACGAGUUAUACAUUAGCACAACCACUAAAGAAAUCAGUAUGGGGAUUCCUGAAAAGAUAUGACCAUAUGACCCUAUGAAUCAGCUAUGCCUAAAUAUUCCUUAGUAUUUAUCUUCAAGAAUUGGAAGCCAGGUGUGGUGGUGCAUGUCUGUAAUCCCAGCAGCUUGUGAGGCUGAGGCAGGAGGAUCCGAGUUCAAAGACAGCCUCAGUAAUAUAGCAAGUGGCUAAGCAACUCAUUGAGACCCUAUCUCUAAAUGAAAUAUAAAAAAGGCCUGAGGAUGUGGCUUAGUGCUUGAGUGCUCCUGAGUUCAAUUCUUGGAACAACAACAACAACAAAAAAAUGGAGUCAGCAUACGAUAGCAAUACGUAUAUACUCAUGUUUAUAGCAGCACAGUUAAAUAGCCAAACUAUGCAAUCAGCCUAGGUGUCUAUCAAUAGAUGAAUGAAUAAAGAAAAAAUGUGGUGUAUAUACACAAUGAAGUUGUAUUCAGGCAUAAAGAGAAAUAAAAUUAUAUUAUUUGCAGGAAAAUAGAUGAAACUUGAGAAUACUAUGUGAAAUAAGCCAAAGUCAGAAAGUCACAGAACAUAUGUUUUAUCUCAGAUAUGGAAGCUAGACAGGAAAAAAAAAGAAAAAAAGUUGGGGUUGGGGGCUCUCAUGAAAAUUGAAGGGUGAUCCACAGAGACAAGAAAAGGGACCAGUGGGAGGGAGGAGAGAAGGAAAAGGGGAAAUACUUGGGAAUGGUAUUGGCCAAAUUACAUUGUAAUAUUGUGUUCAUGUACAGAUACAUAACAACAAAUCCCAUCCUUAUGUACGACUAUAACGCUCCUAUAAAAAUAUGAUAAAAAAUUCAAUCCCAUUCAGUUGUAGGUACAGGGAAAGAAAACACUUUCAUUCCUUGUAUUGUCCUUAUCCUGUGUGUAUUUGGAUUCUUAUUCUGUGAUUAAUUUACGAAUGUAUGUGUUCUCUGAAGGACUAUGAGCUGCAUGAGAACAGAUGUUGCACGUGUAUUGGAUUAGUGCUGCUCAUAGAGUUUGCAUAUAUUAAGUGCUUAAAAAUACUUUUCUAACUGAAUGACUGGGCGAAUGCAUACUUGCCAUGUGUAAGUUGUAUGUAAUUGAAUGUUUUCACAGAAUGUUAAAGAAAGCCAAAGUAAGUUAUCUUUUUUUUUUUUGUAUCAAGAAUUGAACUCAGGGGUGAGUUCAAACACUGAGCCACAUCCUCUGCCCUGUUUUGUAUUUUAUUUAGAGAUAGGGUCUCACUGAGUUGCUUAGUGCCUCCCUUUUGCUAAGGCUGGCUUUGAACUCGCUAUCCUCUUGCCUCAGCCUUCUGAGCCACUGGGAUUAAAGGCGUGUGCCACCAUACCUGGCAAAGUUAUCUUCUUUUUAAAACAUAGAAACCAUAUCUGAAAGAUUGAGUUAUUUGUCCUAGCUCACAUGAUUUAAAUGACAAACUUGGCAUUCCAAUGUUGUUUCUUCCUGACUCUUUAUAGUGAUACCCAGGUACUUAGCAAACAUACUGAAAAGUAGGUUUUAAACUCCAUUUAUUCUCUAGUUUACCUUUUUAAAUUUUCAAUUUUAAGUUAAAGGUUGGCAUAAUUUAUGCACAAACUGCAAUUUAUAACAAGAUGAGUCUUGAAUUAGCAGCAUUUUUGAAGGCAUCAUGGUGCUGGUGAUGGGAAAAACUGGAGACAUGUCAACUUCUCAGGAAGGAGCCACAUUUUCAUAUCAAACUGUGAGCUAGGCCUUUAUCCUCAAUAUGCAAUUUAACUACCCACCGUCCAUUAAUUGACCCAUAAUUCAUUUGUACCUUCAAUGGCAAAUAGUUUUCAAUAUAUUCAAAUAGUUUUCAAUAUCUCCUUUGGCAAGCCUUGGUUGAGUGAGGGAGACUGAAUGCACUCUGUGCUCUUAACAAGAUUUGCAGACUACUGGGAGAGACUCCCAUUACUCAUAUGACUGCAGAUAAUUGUCAGUCUCACAGGUGACAACAUAAUAGGGCUACAUGUAACAUGACAGAAUAGAACAAGAGGAGCUGCCCUAGUUUAAGGCAUCAGAGAAGUCUCCACAGAACUCAGGCAAAUGGCCCCCACAAGCACGAUUACACUGGACAGCAGGUCUGCUUGGCUUGAAAACCCAGUCCCAUCCCUGAGGAACACAAGGCUACCUCAUGGCAACCAAAGUCCUUCCUGAUGCUUCAGUUUUCCCCAGGAACUCCUGAGCAAUGGACAUUGAGUCAUUACUCAAUCACUGACAUCCUUUAAAACAGUUUUUCUUUUCUAAACCACAAAUGCAGAAGUGCUUUCCCUGUGUCUGAGUUUCAUAAAGCUGCUCAGUGACUGUUAAUACCAACUCAUCAUCCCAGUGUCUCUGGGGUCACAAGAUCAAUCUUCAGAGUUCUAAGGCAUUGAAUAUGUCUGGUGUGCCUCUGAUAGAGUGUGGGGGUGACUGAAGUGACUGGAGCAGCCUGCCAAGAGGGCAACAUCAUGCUGAGGAUCUAGUGGAAUUUGGCUAAGAUUGAUUUGUAGCUGAUCUCUGCUUCACUCACAAGAAUGCUCAGCCUCAGGCCUCUCAUGUCAGACUAGAUCAUUUGGACUUUCUUUCCUAGGCAAUGGAAAGCAGUUAAAAAAAUUGUUGAGAGAAGUUACCGAGAGAAUGAUUGGGAAAUUCUCUUAGCAGUGUGUGCAGAACCCCACUCAGUAGGAAGAAGGUUGUUGGGAAUUGGGCAUGGCACAUUCUAGACUCCUCGAAAGAGAUGUUUCACAUUCCCCAGGGUCCACAAUUCAUAUGGGAACAGGAUCCAGGUAGAGGUUAGAAGGAAUGAGUAGUCAGGCAGGCAACAAUAGGCAGUGCUUGGAAUAGUGAAGCCCUGGAGUGUUCUUAUCCUGUUGAGAGCCACUGAACCUGACUCCCUGGGUGUUGCCUUAAAGAAAUGCAGACCAUGCUUACCAGAUAUUCCCAUAUUUCACAGGGAAGAUAGGAAUCUAGACUUUUAGGUUGAAAAAUCCCAACUUUUAUAACUUGGCAACUAAUUCAAAACAUCACAAUGGCACAGUGCAGAACAAUCCAAAUAGGCUGAGUGCCAGCAUGCUAGCAUUAGCACUCUGGUCCUAGUUGGCCAACUGAACCUUUGGUUUAUGUCCUUGUUGCAAUGACCACCCCCACCCCCACCCCACCACACACAGUGACUGUUAAGAUUCCAGGGAGAGUCUAUAGCUAGACACUCAAAUAGGUAGGCACCUCUACCGUGAAAUAAAAUGUGACCAGUAUUCACACAAAAUUCAGUCAAGGGAAGUUUGUAAAAUACUCAAAAAUAUUGCUACAUGCAAAAUAUUUCUGAAGAAGUUCCCCCAAAACACAGGCAACUAAAGGAAAAUAGACAAAUGCUAUUGUAAAAAGACUUCUACACAGGAAAGGAAAUAAUCAAAGGAAAUAAUUAAGGUGAAGAGACAAUCAAUGGGAUGAAAGAAAAUAUUUGCAAACCAGGUAUCUGACAAAGGAUUAGUGUGCCGAAUAUACAAGGAACUCAAACAACUCAACAUCAGAAAAACCGACAAUCUGAUGAAUAAAUAAGACAAUGGCCUGGUGUGGUGGUGCACUCUUGUAAUCCCAAUGACUUAGAAGGCAGAGUCAGGAGGAUAGAUAGUUUGAAGCCAGCUUCAGCAACUUAGCUAGACCCUGUCUCAAAAUAAAGAAAUAAGAGGAGGACGGGUGUCGUAGCUUCAUGGUAAAGUAUCCUGGGUUCAAUCCCCAGUACAAUGCAUAAACACACAGACUUACACGCACACAAAAAAAAACCCCACAUACAAAUAGGCUAAUGGUCUAAAUGACAUUUGCAAAAGAAUAUAUGGAAAUUGCAGAAUAGUCUAUGAAAAAAAUCUCAACUUCACUAUUCUUCUGGAAAAUGCAAAGCAAAAUCAUAAUUACAUACCAUCGCACACUAGUUCAAAUGGCUAUCAUCAAAAGACAAAAAUUAUCAGAUGCUUGUGAGAAUCUGGUGAAAAGGGAACUCUUGCCGACUACUGGUGGAAAUCCAAGUUAGUGCAGCCACUAUGGAGAAUAAUAUGGUGGUUUCUCAAAAAAUGAAAAAUAAGACUUCCCUCUGAUCAAGCAAUCCCACCUCUGGGUAUAAAUUCAAGGCAAAGGGAAUCAGCAUGUCACAAUGACAUCUGUAGUCCCACCUUCAUUGCAAGAUUAUUCACAAGGACCAUAAAAUGGAAACUCCCCAAGUGUCCAUCACCUAAUGAUUGUAUAAAGGUGUGGUGCAUAUGCACAAUGGAAUACUAGUUAGCCGUAAAAUGCAAUGAAAUUCUGUCAUUUGCAACAACAUGGAUGGAACUGGAUGUUGUUAUGUUAAGUGGAGUAUACCAGGCAUAGAAAGACAAAUACGUCAUGAUCUCACUCCUGAGUGUUAUCUAAAAAAGUUGAUUUCACAGAAGGAAAGAGUAGGACAGAGUCCCCAGAGGCUGGGGAGAGUGGGGAUAGAGAGAGGUUGGAUCACAGUUACCUAAAUGUAGACAGGAGGAACAUGUUCGAUAGCACAGCAGGAUGAUCAUAGUUAACCAAAAUUACCUAUGUUUCAAAGUAGCUGGCAGAGAAGAUUUUGAAUGCUCCCCCCAGAAGAUAAUGAUAAAGUGCUUGAGGUUCUGGGAAUGUCAAUUACCCUGACUGAUCAUUACACUUUUUAUACAUGUCUGGAAAAAUCUCACUGUACCCUUUAAUAUGUGCAAUUAUUAUAUCAAUUAAAAACAUAAUAAAAAAAAAACUCCAACAAACCCAUUGAACUGUACAAGGUUAGGGCCAAGGUUAGGGCCCAGUCUGCAGAGGGUUCAGAGCAGGCUGAGAAAACUUUGCUCUUGAGGAGGGCCUUUGUCAGUUGGCGGAUUCAUUAGACACCCCAGUUUCCCAGCCUGAGGCAGUGAGGGGGCCAAGUCUCUGCAGCUUCUUGAUAAGGAGUCUCUGCCUAACAUCUCUCUAUAAAAUCUCAGGAAGAGAAAGGAACAUGUCUGUAGGACAGAUUGUGAGUAAAUGACAGCAGAGGAGCAGAAACAGAUACACAGAGAUCUAGAUUGUCUGCAAAGAGGUUUAUUGCACAGCUCACAGGGUGCUUCAGCUCAGCAAAGCUUGAAAGGGGCUGGGGACUGGUUGCAUGAGAACAGGAGCUGGUAUCCAGGGUUGACAGAGGGCUUGAGAGCUGGUAGAUGAGCCAUGCCACAAAGUGCUGAUCCAGGAGCUAAUAUAUCCCAUCCAAGUGAACCGGAACAAGUAGAUACGGGGUGCUGUCCUGUGGAGAUUUCAUUUCACAAGCAACUACAUAGAACUUGGUUGCUGCUACAUUUCGAUAUGUGCAGUUGUUAUAAUUCUUUGUUCUUUUGAUGAUAUCACAGUUAACUAAGGGCACCUGAACUGAACUGUUAUGACAAUUUGUUCUGGUGACAUUACGACAGGUUAUAUUUG